rnacentral:lncRNA from 1 species
GUCUCCAAAAUGCAUUCCUAAGUGGUGUUUGAAGUGCACUGAUAUGUUUAAAUGUAGAGCAUUGACGAAACGAAGCAAAUGUUGUAAACAUGAUCAUUCAAAGGAAAAGAAAACCAACAACAACAUUAAAUCUCCAACAGAGGGAGCGAAAGUAAAAGAAAAUAUACAGUAAUUACAUAUGGAAAAAAAUCUUUUGGGGUAAAGGAAGGAUUCGAUUAAUUAUAUAUACCUCACAGCGGAAUGAAAACACAUCUCGGAGCAAUAAUGGACUACAUGGAUGUUAAUGAUAUUGCAUGGUCAGAUGUUUCACGAAUUAUUGAUACCAUUGCAAGUACUAUUAUCUUUUUAUCAUAUAUUAUAUUAUA